AGAAGAGUCCAGGAAGCAGGCUCAAAAAGACUGAUCAGAGAGGCAGGAAUUCAGAUCCUUUUCAUCUGUGACUCUGUCAUUUUCAACAUGUGGCUUCAAAAGUCUGCUUCAAGCCAGUGAAAAGAAAACAAAUAUGAAGAAUAGACUUUUCCAGGCCUGGAAGUGGCACUUAUGACUUUCACUCACAUCCCAACAGCCAGAACUCAGUUAUAUGGGAAAUGUAAUCUAACUAUGUGUCCAUGAAGAACAGGACAUCCGGGAAGCAAUUAGCAGUUUUUUCUACAAUGGUAUAGCAACUGGAUCAGUGUGGAGAAUUUACAGGGCAUCAAAGAAGAACCACUCUUCUUUACCCAACAUGGUGGUGUAGGUACACUAGAAACUCUUGGUGGAGGAAUAGGUCAGACCUAUAAGUGAACAGGAAGCCAG
rnacentral:lncRNA from 1 species